CGACUGGUGAUACAUGUCCCCUCACGGUCACCCUCUUUGUCUCCAGAUCUAUGCUGAAGGAUGUUACUCCUGGAGUCAACGUCGAAGCAUAUGGUUUUUCAUCACUCAAAUUACUUCAGUUUAAACAUAAAGGAAGACGGUUGCUGGAUGGCUUUCGAAGAAGCGGUCUCGUUAUGUCCUCUUUUAUCAGCAUGCACCAGAACUGAUCUACUCUUGCUUGUGGCUGCACCAAUGCUCUGAGCCUCAACAAGUCUCGAGUACCUGCCUUUGUUUAAAAGACAAGUAGAAUCCACCAGAGCUUGAUCUGGAACUCUCCUAGGAACAAUGACCGACCGAGGAUCAGGUAUGGUGCAUCCUGAAGUUACUUCCACAGACUGGCACAUGAAACCCCUCAUUUCUCUAGGUAGGGAUGAGAGGAGAUGUUUGAGGUGUGUUGCGAGUUAGUAUAAAUGAGAAAUUGCAGAUAUUCCAAACCUUUGGUUUCUUUUAUUACUUAUGAGUUUCACAGAAACAUAUCAUCUUAAAUGACUUAGCUAACAGGAAUUGGCUGGCAAUUGUCAGAGUUUAUCAGUACUGCAAUGCCUAUGUUUGAAUGUAUACAA